rnacentral:lncRNA from 10 species
GGCAUCUCGGCCCGCCAGGACCGCCCCACUCCACGUCGCCCGGAGCUGAGGCCUGGGAGGGGGUCCUGGGCGGAGCGGGCGGGUGGUCGGGCCAGGCCACGCCCCAGGCCACGCCCCAGGCCACACCCCAGGCCACACCCCAGGCCGCGCCCGCGCCUGCGCCUCAGCCCCGGCUUCAUCUUCCCUGUCUUGUUCCUGGGCGCAGAGGGCUCCUCCGGCGCCGCCGAGCUGCGCCCGCUGCCUUCACACCCCGGACAUCCGCGCCACACCUCCAGGAGCUUGCUCAGCUGGGUCCAUCCUGUGGACAAGCCCGAGCGGCAGCGGUAGCGGCCCUGGGUGUCACCCGUCAGCAGGAACUGGUGCUUGAUGGCAGGGACCCAGACCCCAGGAGGCCUCACCCCACAGCAAGAGAAAGACCACGAGCAUGGACAUGAUGGUCGCGCUCACUCCGGUGCAGUGAGUGUCUGGGUGAUGGAUCCUAGAACCUGUUCUAGAAGGAGACGCUGAGUUCUCCCCACUCUACCUGGAGCUGCUGAGGUCAAGUGGAGAGUGCCGGGGCUGAAGCCCAGCGAGCCCCUCCCUGUCACACCACACUGCACAUGUGACACCAAAGGUGGGGUUCACCUCUUUUCAGACUUUCUGCGGUUGCCCUCACAUGGGCUGUCUGGAGGUGCACCCUCACUCUUCCUGAGGACUGUGGUUCCUUCUCCAUCACUGGUUCAUUCUGCAUGGUGUGACCCACCACGGCUCUGGAGUCGGAUUUCCACCCAGGUCAUUCAGCUGAGACCUGCGCUUCCCAGGCCUACCCGUGACAUGUGCUCAGUUACCUGAGCUGCUGGUGGUCACUCAUGUGGCUAUAGCCUGCUGCCUGGAGGCCAGGCCUCCCGCUUCCCCUGCCUCCCCCUCUCCUCACCACAGCCUGUUGGGAUGGAACAGGACAGGGGUGAGACCGUGGUGCUUUCACACUCAGCCUCCAUGGACAUCCUGUCAUUCCCACCCGGGGAGGUCUGGUCCCCACCCUGGGUGUCCCAGCCUAGCUCCGCUACGAGUGUGAGGGCCCAGGGCAACCGCCUAGCCCUCAUCUGCCCCCUGCACUGCAUCCUCCCCACUCAUUCAUUCCACAGGCAUUUAUUGAGCAUCUACUGUGUGCCAGAUGCAAAGAAGACAGUGGGAUAACUGGGCAAGGAGCAUUCCAGGCAGAGGGAACAGCCAG